UCACUGGUCACUAAUUAAUAUAACCUUCAUUCCCAAGUCCCAACAUGCCAAACUCAUGCAAAGGAAAGAGCUCAUGGCCAGAGCUUGUUAAUGCUCCAGGAGAAAUUGCAGUCAAAAUUAUAGAGAAGGAAAACAGUUCGGUUAAAGCCAUUAUUGUUGAAGAAGGAUCUUCUGUUGUCACCAACUUCGAGUGUGGUCGAGUUUUUGUUUUCAUCCACAAGAAGUCCAAUAUGGUUACUAAGACCCCGCACAUUGGCUAAUUGUAUUGGCUAAUUGUAUCGCUAUUGUAUGCUUUAUAAAUUUAUCCUCUAGUAUUUCUAUUUUCUUUAGUUAUUCAGUUAAUUAAAUCGAUGAUUCAUGAAUCAAUGAAUAGCUUCACACUAAUUUGCUUUUCAUUUUA